AGAGUAAUGGCGACCGUGGACAUGGCACCUGCCCGGUAAGCAGAAGGUUGUGGGUUCGAUUCCCGCCCCUGGGCACUUUUAUUUUU